AAAGUGAGAAGGUCUGCUGACAGGAGGAUUCGGCAGGCACGCACCCCCUCGUUACAUGCGGUGCAGGAGCGGAGGCGUGCGCUCCUUGUGAGCGCGCUGCCGGCAGUAAACAACUGCUGUGGAAAUACUCCUGUACUCUGAAGAAAUCGUGACUGUACUAAUGCUCAGGAUUCACUCAGGUGAUAAUGUUCUUCUGCAAGUAACAACUAGCCCCAGCUGUUGAAACAUUGUGAAGAUUGAUUGUACAGAUGAAGAGUUACUUCAUGUGAUGCAACUCCAAUCAGUAGUCCAAAUACAGGAUUACUUCCAGCCUCUUUGUUUUGAGAACUGCCUUACUUACUACGACAUGGGUUUGAGCAUGCUGGUGGGCUUUGUCCCUAACAGGCAUUAGUUUGGUAGAUCAUUUUCAGGAUUGAUAGUUUUGUAAGCUCAAAGCAG